UUCUAUUCUAUGAACCUUGAUAUUUAUUAAUAUAUUGCAAAUUUUAUAUUUUCCAGCAUUUAUAUUCAAAUCUCAGCAUUUCGUGAUAGCUCCAAAACAAGUGCGCAUAAAUUUAAUGAAACAUUUAAGCAACAAUUUUCUAAAAUCAAAGCUGUUUUACAAAAUGCAUAUGAUUCCAAGUUGUGAAAUAGGUGGAAAACAAAACAGGACCUAUACAUAUAUUUCUUAUUCUGACUUUCUUCAACAUACGCUUCAAUUCCUUUGUGGAAGUCACUGUCGAAUUUCCUAUAUCGACAGUGGUGUUGACUGCGUUCCGAUUGCGAGUACAGCUUUUUCAGCCGAGUACCUUUCAAAUGUUUGGAAUUAAUUAAAUUAAUUGAAUAAACAAAUAUUUACAUGCUUCUUUCAUUACUAAAUCUCAA